rnacentral:rRNA from 3 species
CCUACGGGAGGCAGCAGUGGGGAAUAUUGCACAAUGGGCGGAAGCCUGAUGCAGCGACGCCGCGUGAGGGAUGACGGCCUUCGGGUUGUAAACCUCUUUCAGUAGGGAAGAAGCGAAAGUGACGGUACCUGCAGAAGAAGCGCCGGCUAACUACGUGCCAGCAGCCGCGGUAAU